CGAUAACGUGAGCAAGACCACAUCGCUUUGCGAUACCUGAAAACGUGACAAGAUGAAUUCGAAGUUUUUGCUGAUCUUCGCCUUGUUGGUGACACUGAGUUUGGUAGCUUCACAUGGCUCAUCGUCAGAGGAACACGGACGCAGAAUGUCGAUCCGAAAAUGUAGAAGGAGUGUUAGACAACUGAAGAGGGACAAGAUGUGUCUGCAUGAACAAGUUAGGGCUUGCAAGAAGGCGAAGGCAUCAAUGUGAGCCUAAUUCAACUGCGCGAGUUCAAAAUGGCCAACACAUAGACAUUUAUUCGGAACCUCUUCAACAGAAAUAAAUUUAAGAUAACAUCUCCGGCAGUGAAGUCGAUUUUAAAAUAAAGUAAUGUUCUCUACGCAAA